CGGCGGACGGGUGAGUAAUGCCUAGGAAUCUGCCUGGUAGUGGGGGACAACGUUUCGAAAGGAACGCUAAUACCGCAUACGUCCUACGGGAGAAAGCAGGGGACCUUCGGGCCUUGCGCUAUCAGAUGAGCCUAGGUCGGAUUAGCUAGUUGGUGAGGUAAUGGCUCACCAAGGCGACGAUCCGUAACUGGUCUGAGAGGAUGAUCAGUCACACUGGAACUGAGACACGGUCCAGACUCCUACGGGAGGCAAGCAGCC
rnacentral:rRNA from 1 species